GCUUAUACAUUUAUACUGUGUACUUAAUUGUAAAAAUGUUAUGACCCACUAGUCAUAUGUUAUGUCUAUGUAUUUUGCAACCUUGGAAUGAUUAGUUCAAAGAAAGCAAACAACGUAUUCUCGCAUCGCGCUAAGCAUCGUUACUUUGCAUUAUUAUCAAUUUGCUUAUCAUUUUGCUUAUUAAGUAUAGAACAAAUAAAAUUCUUAUGAAAUUUCUCGUAUUCUAAAAAAUGAAUUAAUUCCCGCUUUAAACAAGAUUUAACACCGUUUAAAGUUCCUAAAAACGGAACAUUGCAAUUGCGUUCUUUGAAGGAUAGUGAUGGUUUUCGGUAAAUAUUAUUCUUAUUGUGCACCCUACACAGAUUGACAAAUAAUAAAAAUAAUCAAGUACGAUAAUGAUGCUUCUGAUAAUUGGUGAUUCGACGAAGUUUACCAAUUGUCCAAAUUACCAGCGUCUGCUAAGCUUUUGCGCAUGAAAGAUGUGUUACGAAUAUUACAAGUGAAUACAAGAAAAAGAGUGUUUCUAAAGAAGAGUAGGGUUAAUGAAUAGUUGCAGUCUAUUAUCGUUUUGAACGCAGAG